UCCAACCUUGGCACAGUCAGCCGUUGCC
rnacentral:sRNA from 1 species